GAAGACCCCCGCCAAGUGAAACCCCCUGUGAAGUCAAAUCUGGCUCAUCUCUGAGCACCUUUACAGAACUGAUUCACUCUGUCUUCAAGGGUUGAUAGAAAGGAAGAAAAAAAGUAGAGAACGCCUGCAUCUCUCCUAACAUCGCUGAAUUCAUUGGCGCACCUCCCUCUAGGGGCCACGGAACAAACAGCCUAUUUGCCUGGGAGGAUCUAGCCACUACACACAGGCAAGUGUCAUCUGAGCCAGGUGUGCAACUCUUCCAAGUGUCCUAGGCAGGAAAAGCACAGGCUCCUCCUCUGUAGCCACAGCACACUGGGGCCUCCGUGGUCUCCCCUGCAGGGCUGCGGGAGCGGGAAGAUGCCGGGGAUGAACUGCCCUGCAGCAUCCGUGCUGGACGCCCGAGCACUUCUGAUAUCACCUCCAGACUCUGCACCCCAUGGGAGGAGAGAACACUUCUUCCAUCAGGGAUGACUUUUACUGGGAGACGCAGUACAGUCUUUCUCAAAGUGUGCUCUCUAUCUGCUUGAUUCUAAGGUUGUACAGUGUUUGCUCAAAGGGGU
ensembl:lncRNA